UAGCUAAAUGCGGAAGAGAUAAGUGCUGAAAGCAUCUAAGCACGAAACUUGCCCCGAGAUGAGUUCUCCCUGAGACUUAGAGUCUCCUGAAGGAACGUUGAAGACGACGACGUUGAUAGGCCGGGUGUGUAAGCGCAGCGAUGCGUUGAGCUAACCGGUACUAAUGAACCGUGAGGCUUAACCUUACAACGCCGAAG
rnacentral:rRNA from 3 species